GCUCCGAUGGCCUAGUGGUUAGAGUGUCCGCCUCGGAUGCGGGAGGUUGCGAGUUCGAUCCUCGAUCAAGUCA